rnacentral:rRNA from 1 species
GACGAACGCUGGCGGCGUGCUUAACACAUGCAAGUCGAACGGAAAGGCCCUGCUUUUGUGGGGUGCUCGAGUGGCGAACGGGUGAGUAACACGUGAGUAACCUGCCCUUGACUUUGGGAUAACUUCAGGAAACUGGGGCUAAUACCGGAUAGGAGCUCCUGCUGCAUGGUGGGGGUUGGAAAGUUUCGGCGGUUGGGGAUGGACUCGCGGCUUAUCAGCUUGUUGGUGGGGUGGUGGCUUACCAAGGCUUGGACGGGUAGCCGGCCUGAGAGGGUGACCGGCCACAUUGGGACUGAGAUACGGCCCAGACUCCUACGGGAGGCAGCAGUGGGGAAUAUUGCACAAUGGGCGGAAGCCUGAUGCAGCAACGCCGCGUGCGGGAUGACGGCCUUCGGGUUGUAAACCGCUUUCGCCUGUGACGAAGCGUGAGUGACGGUAAUGGGUAAAGAAGCACCGGCUAACUACGUG